AUUGAACGCUAGCGGGAUGCCUUACACAUGCAAGUCGAACGGAGUGUCGAACGGGUGAGUAAUGUAUCGGAACGUGCCCAGUAGCGGGGGAUAACUACGCGAAAGCGUAGCUAAUUCCGCACACUUUUGGAGCGGUCUAUAUCGGAUUAGCUAGGUGGUGGGGUAACGGCGCACCAAGGCGACGAUCCGUAGCUGGUUUGAGAGGACGACCAGCCAAACUGGGACUGGGACACGGCCCAGACUCCUACGGGAGGCAGCAGUGGGGAAUUUUGGACAAUGGGGGAAACCCUGAUCCAGCCACCCCGCGUGUGAGAUGAAGGCCUUCGGGUUGUAAAGCACUUUUGGCAGGAAAGCGGUACCUGCAGAAUAAGCACCGGCUAACUACGUGCCAGCAGCCGCGGUAAUAC
rnacentral:rRNA from 1 species